rnacentral:rRNA from 1 species
UGCCAGCCGCCGCGGUAAUACGAAGGGACCUAGCGUAGUUCGGAAUUACUGGGCUUAAAGAGUUCGUAGGUGGUUGAAAAAGUUGGUGGUGAAAUCCCAGAGCUUAACUCUGGAACUGCCAUCAAAACUUUUCAGCUAGAGUUUGAUAGAGGAAAGCAGAAUUUCUAGUGUAGAGGUGAAACUCGUAGAUAUUAGAAAGAAUACCAAUUGCGAAAGCAGAUUACUAACAAUAUACUGACGCUGAGGGACGAAAGCGUGGGUAGCGAACAGGAUUAGAUA